ACUCAAAUGAAUUGACGGGGAUCCGCACAAGCGGUGGAACAUGUGGUUUAAUUCGUCACUACGCGAGGAACCUUACCUAGGUUUGACAUGUAUAUGACAGCUCUAGAGAUAGAGUCUUCUUAGGGAAACCUGAGACAUAUACACAGGUGCUGCAUGGCUGUCGUCAGCUCGUGUCGUGAGAUGUUGGGUUAAGUCCUAUAACGAGCGCAACCCCUGCCAUCAGUUGCUACUUCGCAAGAAGGCACUCUGAUGGGACUGCCUGGGAAACCAGGAGGAAGGUGGGGAUGAUGUCAAGUCCGCAUGGUCCUUAUGCCUAGGGCUACACACGUGUUACAAUGGUCGGUACAAAGGGCUGCAAACUCGCAAGAGGAAGCCAAUCCCAAAAAGCCGAUCUAAGUUCGGAUUGAGGUCUGCAACUCGGCCUCAUGAAGUUGAAAUCGCUAGUAAUCGCGUAUCAGAACGACGCGGUGAAUACGUUCUCGGAUCUUGCACACACCGCCCGU
rnacentral:rRNA from 1 species